rnacentral:rRNA from 1 species
UACGUAGGGCGCGAGCGUGUCCGGAAUUAUUGGGCGUAAAGAGCUCGUAGGCGGCCUGUCGCGUCCGCUGUGAAAACCUAAGGCUCAACCUUGGGCUUGCAGUGGGUACGGGCAGACUAGAGUGCGGUAGGGGUGACUGGAAUUCCUGGUGUAGCGGUGGAAUGCGCAGAUAUCAGGAGGAACACCAACUGCGAAGGCAGCUCGCUGGGACGUGACUGACGCUGAGACGCGAAAGCCGUGGGGAGCGAACAGG